ACUGGGCAUGGUGGCGCACACUUGUAUUCCCAGCUGUUCAGGGGUCUGAGGCAGGAGGGUCACUUUAGCCCAGUAGUUCAGGGCUGUAGUGUGCUAUGCUAACCACGUGUUCACACUAAGCUCACCAUCAGUAUGGUGACCUCCUGGGAAUGGGGAACCAACAUGUUGCCUAAGGAGGGGUGAACCAGCCCAGGUCAGAAACAGAGCAGGUCAUAACUCCCAUGCUGAUCAGUAAUGGGACACCUCCUGCCUGUGACCCCUUGCCAGUCAGCCUUCUUUCCGUCUCCUUCCCUCU
rnacentral:SRP_RNA from 1 species